rnacentral:rRNA from 1 species
AUGGACUCUGGGGCGACAGAGCAUCUGACCAGCGAGAUGGGGAAGCUUCACACUCGUGAACCCUAUCAUGGCUCCGACAAGAUCCACACCGCCAAUGGAGCAGGUAUGCACAUCUCUCAUAUUGGUCAAGCAUCUCUUCUCACUAGACAUGCCAAUAGGAGUCUUCAGCUUCGCAAUGUUCUUCGCGUUCCAUCUGUGACCCGCAAUCUUCUUUCAGUUCCUAAACUCACACGUGAUAAUAAUGUGCUUUGUGAAUUUCACCCUUUUGAUCUUUUUAUUAAGGAUCGGGGCACGAGGGACAUUCUUCUUAGUGGGCGGUUGUGCCAGGGUCUCUACCGUCUGGAGCAUCCUGGCGUCGCUCGCGUUUUCAGUGGAGUUCGGGUCUCUCCGUCACAGUGGCAUGCUCGUCUUGGUCACCCGGCCACACCUAUUGUCCGUCAUGUUUUGCGUCGUCAUGAGCUUCCUAGUUUGUCUAGUAAUAAAGAUGUAGCAGUGUGUGAUGCUUGUCAGCAAGGGAAGAGUCAUCAACUUCCUUUUUCGGAGUCCAGUCGUGAGGUGAAACAUCCGUUAGAACUUGUGUUUUCAGAUGUAUGGGGUCCUGCUCAGACUUCUGUCAGUGGUCAUAAUUACUAUAUCAGUUUCGUUGAUGCUUAUAGUCGCUUUACCUGA